UAGGAUUGUAGUGCUACAGUACCGAUGCAAAACUCUCAGGGAAUGAAUAUGACGUAAUGGCAAUUGUAUUGAACCAAGUAACAUCAAUUCUUGCUACUAUUUUUUUUUUACUUUGCCACUGAUGAGUAGAAGUUGAUGGGUCAUUGGUGCUUUUAAAUGGAGUAGUGUACGAGAAGCACUUAGAAAUUAGGAGCAAGUUAUUAAAUUGUUUUGCUUUUUCAUAGAGUAAGUUAAUAAGGGUAUUUUUGGAAACAAAAUUAUGUUUUUGAUAGAUUUUAGAAUAUUAAAUGAAUUUCUUAAUAAGUGUGUUUUUUUUUUUUUCCCUUAUAAAUCGGGACGGAGGGAGUAUUAGAGAGGGGGUAACUUUUUCCUUUUAAAUUAGCAUCACACUAGCUAAAUAUAACUAGGAAAUAAA
rnacentral:lncRNA from 1 species